rnacentral:rRNA from 1 species
UACGUAGGGACCGAGCGUUGUCCGGAAUCAUUGGGCGUAAAGAGCGUGUAGGCGGCUAUUUAAGUCCUGCGUGAAAUCCUGCGGCUCAACCGCAGACGGUCGUGGGAAACUGGAUGGCUAGAGUGCGGGAGAGGAGAGUGGAAUUCCCGGUGUAGCGGUGAAAUGCGCAGAUAUCGGGAAGAACACCCGUGGCGAAGGCGGCUCUCUGGAACGCAACUGACGCUGAGAAGCGAAAGCAUGGGGAGCGAACAGG